GUAUUUUAUAAACAAACAAAUUACUAUGUUAUAUUCGUGUGGUGUACUGAUACCUAUUAUACGGUUUUUAUUAUUAUUAUUAUAGGUGUAUACUGUAUAUGAUAUUAUAACCUCUAGGCUAUAACCAAUAGCGAGUAGGAACAUAAUUUAUUAAAAUUUAACUUUACGUAUUCAUCAGAUGCUACAGCGUUAUAAUAUGUUCCUCUCGGUCGCCACUAACAAAAAUCUAUUCGGGUUUACGG